UAACCGAAGAAGUUCAGCCCCGAUAGACAGAAAUCCCUUUCGACUUCCUCCUUCCAUCAAAUUUUAGGGUUCAUCCACUGUUCAAUCUGCGACGAUUCUUACAUGUUCUCUGCCACCAAGACUGGAGGUUCGAGAGAUUCAGUGGCUCAAAUCGUUUAUCGGCAAAACAUGAAGGGAGCCAAUUGUAAUUUAGAUAUAAUGCCUCCAAGGAAGAAGCAGAAUAAAAGAUCCAACAAGAGGACUUUGAGCAAAUCUCAGAAACUGGAGCUGAAGAAACUUGAGGAAGACAGGGAGAAAGAGCUCCUCUCUGCAAAAAAAAAUCUGAUUUGUUAAACAAGUAUGAAAUAUAUGAGGAUGUGUCUUCGCUUUUACAAUCUUCAAAAGUCAUCAGAAGAUCUGAUACGAAGCUGGAGAAACGCAGGAGAGCAAUACUCUAAAGCUGGUGUUUUGUCUGAUGAACCAGUCAAGGAAAAUGACAACUCUGAUUUUUGUAUGGGCGAGCCUACCACACCUGAAAUCCAUAUCCCGGCUCUUCAAUCCGAUUCUGACCAACUUAUUCAUCCCAACGAGCUCGAUUCCAAAGUGAUGAUGAUCUCUGCUUAAGAGGUCCGUGAAGAAAAUGAAACGAUGUAUAUGAAUCUACAGACAAUUGUCGUGAUGAUGAAGAAGGCUUACAAAGAAUGGUUUGUCAAUUUUUUUUUUUUUUUAAAAUUGGCUAUGAUGUAUGUUUGGUUUGAUUGGUUUUUAAUGGGUUUUGAUAACGAAAAGUAUGAUGAGAGAGACACAAGGACCUGUGUUUGUAGUUCAUGUUUCAAGACCAGCUGAAGUUGAACAGACGUGGAAGGAUCUUCCUAUAAUUAUGAUGGAGCAGGAAAUCAUGGAGACUAUCAAUUAUCAUCCCACCGUUAUUAUUUCUGGAAAGACCGGUUGUGGUAAAACCACUCGAGUUCCUCAGUUCCUUAUGAAGCUGGCUUUGGCUCAAAGCAAGUCAGUUCUUGAAGUGUGGUUAUCGGUAUUACACAGCCACAUCGUGUGGCUGUCCUCGCCAGUCGCCACUGACAAGAGGGUGGCUCAUGAGCUUGGUGUUCGUCUCGGUCAAGAAGUCGGUUUCCAAGUUAAGUACGACAAAAAAAAUUGGCUAGAACUCAUCUAUCAAGUUUUAUGACCGAUGGGUAAUACGCAGAAGAGCAACGUCACGAUCUGAAGAGAAUUUCCAUAGCCGCAGCUUCAGCCAUUAAUGGCGGCAGGAAGAAAUCACUUGGUUGCAGAGGAGGGAGGACAUCACACUUGGCGGUUGUGGUUGGUUUGUGUAACUGGCACCUGCACUUCCUAUCAAGUUCUCCAAUGACAUCGAGGGGAUUCAGUUUAUAAACAGCAUAAGAAAAAGUCAUGUUGAUGCUUAUAUCAAGCGCGUCACUGAACUCCCAUUGAGGUUUUAUGAUUAUCAAGUUUUAUGAUUAUGAAGGUGAGGAAUUUACUUACCGAAUUCAUGUUUCCAAUGAAUAUCUUACUCUCAUCACUUGAAUUGGUUUGAUCUUCAUUGAUAAAAAUAAAUUUAUUUUGCCAAAA